GGCAGAAUGGCCGAGUGGUCUAUGGCGACGGUCUCAAGCGCAUUAAUAUGUACUUCGCAUCCGAAAUGGAGCGUUCCGUUCACGAAAGUGGCCGGGGUUCGAAUCCCCGUUCUGUCA
rnacentral:tRNA from 1 species